rnacentral:rRNA from 1 species
CAUCGCCACGGGAAUACGAAGGGUGCAAGCGUUACUCGGAAUUACUGGGCGUAAAGCGUGCGUAGGUGGUGGUUUAAGUCUGUUGUGAAAGCCCUGGGCUCAACCUGGGAAUUGCAGUGGAUACUGGGUCACUAGAGUGUGGUAGAGGAUAGUGGAAUUUCCGGUGUAGCAGUGAAAUGCGUAGAGAUCGGAAGGAACAUCUGUGGCGAAGGCGACUAUCUGGGCCAACACUGACACUGAGGCACGAAAGCGUGGGGAGCAAACAGGAUUAGAUACCCCCGUAGUCCCUGUCUCUUAUACA